GCGCAUGUCGUCUAGUGGUCUAGGAUGCCUGGUUUUCACCCAGGAAGACGCCGGUUCGAAUCCGGUCAUGCGCUCCA
rnacentral:tRNA from 2 species